rnacentral:rRNA from 1 species
UAGGGAAUCUUCCGCAAUGGACGAAAGUCUGACGGAGCAACGCCGCGUGAGCGAUGAAGGCCUUCGGGUCGUAAAGCUCUGUUGUUAGGGAAGAACAAGUACCGGAGUAACUGCCGGUACCUUGACGGUACCUAACCAGAAAGCCACGGCUAACUACGUGCCAGCAGCCGCGGUAAUACGUAGGUGGCAAGCGUUGUCCGGAAUUAUUGGGCGUAAAGCGCGCGCAGGCGGUCCUUUAAGUCUGAUGUGAAAGCCCACGGCUCAACCGUGGAGGGUCAUUGGAAACUGGGGGACUUGAGUACAGAAGAGGAAAGUGGAAUUCCACGUGUAGCGGUGAAAUGCGUAGAGAUGUGGAGGAACACCAGUGGCGAAGGCGACUUUCUGGUCUGUAACUGACGCUGAGGCGCGAAAGCGUGGGGAGCAAACAGGAUUAGAUACCCUGGUAGUCCACGCCGUAAACGAUGAGUGCUAAGUGUUAGAGGGUUUCCGCCCUUUAG